AAGAUGCUGCAGGGCACCGCCCAUUCUCGGUCGGCAGGAGCUCCCUCCUCGCGACUACGACGGUUCCAUCUCCUCCACUGGGCACAUUGUGGGUUUUAAAAAUGUUAAGUGAAUAUGCCUUUAAGACCGAAUACUUGGCCGCCGUCUUAAAUAUUUACGCGGUCAAAGCAGAUGAUUUGUUUUGCUGGAAAAAGGUACAGGCGCCGCGAAAAGAUAUGCUCACCUAAUCCUGAGGAGCUCCUGGGGAAAAGAAGGGACAGGCCAAAAGGUACGUAGCUGCACUGUAAACAAUACCAUUGAACUAAUGCUCGCGACCUUUUUGAUUCUAGGUAAACGACGAGGACAAAUAAGGCUCUCGGGUCUUAAUCCGGAUAAAUUCACAAACUCCCAAGUAAAUACCCAAGGACCCUUUAUGUUAUGUUAUGUUAUGAUUGCCCUAAAAUUGAUUAUUAAUAAAUAACAUACUAACAUGUUAA